CGUGCGAAUCGGGUCAUCGCUCCGUCGCAUCCCGUCCAUAUGUGGUCGGGACGGCGGUGAGGAAAGUCCGAACACCACAGGGCCCCGUACUUCCUAACGGGAAGGCGUGCCAGUCGCCACUGGCGCGACGGCCCGUGCAACAGAGAGCAGUCCCGCCCCGGCGGCCGUCGGGGUAAGGGGUGCAAGGGUGCGGUAAGAGCGCACCGGCGUUCUGGACGACCGGAGCGGCCCGGCAAACCCUACGGGGUGCAAGGCCAAGCGGCACCGGCCCCGGUGACCACCGGGGCAGAAGGCUGCCCGCCUCAUCGGUGCAGGUAGGCCGCUUGAGGCGACCGGCGACGGUCGUCCCAGAUAGAUGAUGACCUCCUCGUCGUCCGGCGCGGCGCCGGGGCGAGCAGACCAAAUUCGGCUUAUAGAUUUGCACGAUCC
rfam:Salinibacter ruber DSM 13855, complete genome.